rnacentral:rRNA from 1 species
UGCGGAAGGAUCAUUACCGAGUGUAGGGUUCCUAGCGAGCCCAACCUCCCACCCGUGUUUACUGUACCUUAGUUGCUUCGGCGGGCCCGCCAUUCAUGGCCGCCGGGGGCUCUCAGCCCCGGGCCCGCGCCCGCCGGAGACACCACGAACUCUGUCUGAUCUAGUGAAGUCUGAGUUGAUUGUAUCGCAAUCAGUUAAAACUUUCAACAAUGGAUCUCUUGGUUCCGGCAUCGAUGAAGAACGCAGCGAAAUGCGAUAACUAGUGUGAAUUGCAGAAUUCCGUGAAUCAUCGAGUCUUUGAACGCACAUUGCGCCCCCUGGUAUUCCGGGGGGCAUGCCUGUCCGAGCGUCAUUGCUGCCCAUCAAGCACGGCUUGUGUGUUGGGUCGUCGUCCCCUCUCCGGGGGGGACGGGCCCCAAAGGCAGCGGCGGCACCGCGUCCGAUCCUCGAGCGUAUGGGGCUUUGUCACCCGCUCUGUAGGCCCGGCCGGCGCUUGCCGAACGCAAAUCAAUCUUUUUCCAGGUUGACCUCGGAUCAGGUAGGGAUACCCGCUGAACUUAAGCAUAU